UGCCCUGUAGACGUGGGCAAGGCACUCAAGUCUCAGGGCUCACUGGGGGCCGGGCGCUUGCUGGCGUGAACUCGAGCAUGUGACAAGGAGGCAAAAAGCUGGACAAUGUGGAGCAGUGUCUGUGCCUCCGACCCAGCUUGGGCUGGGAGAGACUUGGGCCCUGGGGAAAAAGCGGCUCAGCUUCUGGGGAAGGAACCUGGUGGACAGCCCGUCGCCAUGGUAACUUACGCAGAGUCUCCUUUGCUCUUUGAUGUCUUUUUUUGACUCCCUCUGGGCCUCCUUCCCUCCUCUCUCUUUAAUUUUCAGUUCUGUUUCACGGCUUCCUGUCCUCCGUGUAGACUUGUGCCUCAAAAGGAGAAAAACAAUCAUUUGUGUAGUAGUGGUGCUCAGGGCUGUCGAGGGUUAUGGUGGUGGCAGGUCACCUGUGUCCCCAGUCAGAGAAGCAUUGAUGGUGGCAGAUUGACUCGGGGGUCCGGGGGCUGACCCGAAUCUUGUGUCCCCAAGUGGAUGGGCCUCUCGGGCGGGGGGGGAGGGAGGCCACGGUGACUCACCCUAGCAGGAGGGAAUGAUGCUUAAAACGAAAGAGAAGCAUUCUGCCUGCAGCCGGGGCCUCGCCCUCCUCCUGGGCAGGUUCACAGGAGAAGGAGCCCCUCCGCGACUCCAGUUCCCAGCAGCCCAGUGAGCCCGACCCUCAGGUCUUUCUCGCCAAGGGCCCGGACACACUGGCGCAGGAUCAAGCUGUCACUUCUGUGCCCAGUCCCACGUCCUGACCCACGGAAUCCACAGUAAAAUGGUGGCUGUCUUACACCGUUGAGUUUUGGGUUGGUUUAUGACGGACGCAGCCACAGCAACCAGCAAGGGUUCCAUGGGGAACUCAGCCUUCUUACGGCUGAUAUAUUUGCAUUUUUUCCAAAAAUAACAUUGCUAUAAAAAUAGAAAUUCAAGAUGUAAUUGAGUCAUGAUUUCAUCACCUAAACGAAACAAAUUUUUGUUUGCUCACAACUGUCUUUCGAAUUCACGAGUGCUUCCUACCAGUUCACUGUGUGGUCGGCUAUAGAGAACCAACAUUCUCUCUUCCAUGAGGACCAGCCCGGAUUCGUGUGAAAGACGAGUUUGUCAAUGACACUUAUUAAAGAUGGUGGGAAAGGGGGUCAUCACAAUGGCUCGGGGACCAGCGGGAAGAGAGAAUAAACUCAACUCCUCACACAGCUCGGCUCCACUCCAUUGUCGCCUUUCUCUCACCUUUCGAAGGCCGGUCUCACGCAAACGCUGGGCUGUCUAGUUGGUGUCUGUACCUGGAACAGGAAGUAAAGGACUGAGGAGACGAGUGCCACAGAACUGAGCCCAGAGCGUCUAGUGAACUGACCUGCAACCUUUCCAGUUUACCCUCAGCAUCCUCUCCUGCCCUGACCCAGAUUGUUAAUCUAUGGAGGAGCAGGGCAAUGACCUGGGCAGCAAGGAUAGUCGUUAAGCUUUUGCAAAGCACUGGGUGGCAUUUCAGGACUUCUGAUGCACAGCGCUGGGGUUAAGCAGUGCAGGUCGGGCCAGUCCUGGGUGCUGUUCUCUCCAUGUAGUUUUGUCCUCAUGCAACUGGAAAUGGGGAGUCCAGGUGUUUUUUGAAAAGACUGAGUUUGCAACAUGGCCUCAAAUGCAGGAGUUGCUGGGAGGCCAAAGGACAAAGCAGACAAGUCCAGCCUGUUGUUUCACAAGAGAAUUUACAGAAACCACAGUCCUGGGUGGCAGCAGGACAAGAGGGUGCUGCCCCGUUCUCCCACAGAGCUCCUGUUUCAUAACCAUGUGGAGAGCGGGACCAACAGAAUGUCACUGGUCCAAUGGAGACAGCAUGAAGUAUGUAAGACAAAGUGGAGUCACUUACAUCAACUAGAAUGACAGUCCGUCAGCCAUGACAGUUUGGUUCGAGAGGAAAAUUGCCUCAGUCCGAGCAGACACGUCUGACAAGGAGACACAACCAGGAUAUCUGCACAGGUGGUCAGAGUAGCCGUGUCUGCAGAGCGGGACCCCCACAGAUGGGCUCCUCAGCAAACCCCCACAUUUGUCAAAAAGGCCCAGAAGGGUGGAGGCACCACUUUCAAGGUACAACUGAGGCAGGCUCCAGACCACUGCUGAGACCGCCGAGCCCCACCCCCAGAGGGCUGCUCCAUGCCACGCUGAUCUCUCGGCACCGGCAGCCAGAGGCUCUGCCCUGCUGGACUGAGGACUUCACCUGCCCUGCUGCCCACCUGGCUCCUACCAAGAUGCUGAGGACUCCCUUGGCCACCCUGCUGUCUCCCGGACCUGCAGACUGAGACUCUGGGGCUCAGGAACCAAUCACGGUGGCUGCAGGGGACCCCGCUGCAUGGCCUCAGCAUCCUCCUCUCAUCUGCUGCUGAAUCUUUUGGUGUGCACCUGCAUGACAAAUUGAAGUACAUUCUUCACAGUUCGUCCAGUUUAAACCAGUGCUUGUCGUAGGUGACUGCGGAUUACAAAUCUGGCCUUGCACACAAUGUUCCCGGAGAAGAAGAUGCCCGAGGACACACACAGCCCUCUGCAAGGGAGUGCGAAGUCCAAGACCGGCUCUCAGACCUGAGUGUGAGAUGCCAAGGCCUGCCUGCGGGACUUCCUGGGCACCGCUUGCCGGCCCCACCUACAGGGUUUCUGCUUCAGUGGCUCCCGGGUGGGGCCCUCUCCCGGGGCAUUUGCAUGUCUGCCAAGUCCUCAGGAGCAGUUCCGGUGCCCACCCGGGGAGACAUUUAGAACGAGCUCACUGUGGCCAUUGUAAGGGGCUCCUGACCACAAAGAACCGAACAGAUGAGCAGUAGAAGCCUGUCUGGAGAGCCCCGGCUUCCGGCUCACUACAGCAGGUGUCCCGACCUGGCAGGCAGACCCACCCGGGGCGAGCCCAGCCCAGGGGCCCUGACGUGGUGGGCAGUGGGGUGGCACCGCUGCUGUCCUCUCUAACACCUGUUACUCUUGGACGUGGACAGAGCACCGGGGCCCUCUCCGCUUUCCCUCCAACACUUAGGGUGCUCAGGACAGGUGCAAAUGAGCUGCCACUGGGGCACACAACGAGGAGCAUGUGUCUGUUUUGGAUAUUUGCAAAUGGAAAAACAUCCGCUGUAUCUACAUUGAGUCCCCUCCCGCAUGCCGUGUCUGCCUUUCUUCUAGUCUGAGUCGUGCUUAGGGUUACUGGGUCACACUGUCCCACUUUCUGUGGUUUGUCUGCACUAGUUGUACACCUUACCCGGGAGGAAGUUGGGCGGCUGCCUCACUACCCCUUCGGGGAAACAUCUUAGAAACAGGACUGACAACGCAUGCAGGUUCUUUCUCCCUCCCCUUUGUCCUAUCCUUUCUCCCGCUAACACACACAGAAGCCCGACGUUCGUCACUCACUGCUGCCUAAAUGCUGUGCUGGUGGGGAGAGAGAUGGGGCAGCAUCGAAGGGGAAGUCAGUUGUGAAGCACGGAGGACAGGGUGCGGCUGAGUAUGGCCGGGGGGCGGGGGAGUCGCUCCCCACUCACACUCACCGUGGCUGCCUGUCAGAAUCAUCUGGGAGCUUUGCGUAGCUAACUACUCACGCUCAGGACCAGAGAUCCCAACUGGAGCUGAUCUUGGCUGGGACCCAGGGCAUCAGACAAUUUGAAUCUCCUCAGGGCAUUCUGAUGUGGAGCCAAAGCUGAGAUUCCCGGCUCUAGACCAACUGUUCCAGUGGCACCUGGGUGCAGAGUACAGCUGCGUUUUUCUGCAGCUUCCUUUUAACUACCUCAAGCUACAGUAAAGGAGGCUACAGGCUGCCACCUAUGGGGUAGGCGAGAGGCCAGUGCCACAACCCUAAGUUUGGACAGGUAAGUGCAGGAAGCAGAUAACUGAGGGCCAGGUGGGCAAAAUAAAAAAUGCGAGUUCAAAAGACAGCAACAAAGCCUGAGGAUGUGGCCCUGGCCAGGUGGCUCAGUUGGUUGGAGCCUUAUCCUAUACACCAUAAGGUUGUGGGUUCAAUCCCUGGUCAAUGUGCCCAAGGAAGGGAACUAAUCAAUGUUUCUCUAGCACACUGAUGUUUUUCUUUUUCUCUAAAAUCAAUAAGCAUAUCCUUGGGUGAGGAUUUAAAAAAAAAUCUCCAGGUGUGGGGCCAAUUCAAGAAAGAGCAUGAGCCAAGAGCUUCAGUGCCAAGAGGGCACACAACCAGUGUCCGAUUACCCCAGUCCUGGGAGCCACACAGCUUAAUUCUGAAACCGGCCCAAGUCAGGAACCCGGGUGUCCCCUGUCCCAGCGGGACUGAAUUCACAGCCAGGCCGGGAGAGUAUUGAAAGAAGGGAGGUGAGAAGUGGAAAACGCAGAGGAAAUUGUUUGGUUUGCAGAAGGUUGAGCAAUCAGUUUCAUUGUUUUUUGUUUGUUUCCACCCAACCGACGCAGUGGUAAUGUUUCCAAGGUCAUAUACAUUCCCGAGAUGAUGGGAAACGCAAACUAACAUUGUCUUGGAGCAACAGUCCUUAAACCAUAAUGGCCUCAGAGCACUCCCAGGGGAUCUUGCUCAAACGGUGUGUCUGUUUCAGUAGGUCUGGGUGGGGGGCCCAAGAGGCCCGAGAAUCUGCAUUUUUAACCAUCUCCAACUGAUGCUGAUCUGAGAACCGCUGUUGCAUAGCGAGGACUUCGUGGACCGGGAUGGACAGCGUCUCCCUGAAAUGCACGGAAGAGCCCCUCUCUGAAACGUGGCUCUGCUCUUUCUCAUGUCUCAGAGCAUUUAAGGUGUCAAAAUGAUGACUCCAGUGACCGCCUCUGUUUACGUGUGUUCUUCCGGGACCCAGAGACCCCGCCGCCCCACCAUGCACAUUCCAUGACAUCUGCUUAAAGUGCAGAAAGUGCUCCUCUAGGGCUGCCCCCGGUCCCCCUCAAGAGUUCUUCUUACAGUUUUGCCUUCGGGCUGACACUUCCAUAUUUAAAAUAAACCUUCCAGGAUUUUCUUCCGUAAAUGUUGAAUGGUUAACUACUGAGAGAGGACCAUCUCUUCCUGCCCUAAUUGGCAUCUUGACGGAAGACCACACUUUUGAAGCCUGAAAAGAAACAGAAUGACAGAGGGGCUCAGGGCGGUGUUUUGCAUGAGACCGGGGCCUCCCCCAGAUGCCAGGAUGGUGAAAACACGGAGCUAUGAAGUGUUUGCUCUCUCUUGGGAUGUGAGUCGGGGAUGAAGUGCGGCUGUAGGACCAUACUUAUCACCUUAGGGCUCGGAUCAGACCGUGUGGGUUUGAAUCCUGGCUCCAUCACUUGGACACAUGCCUUAGCCUCCCCAACCCUCCCUCCCACCAACUGUCAAAGGUGGGAGCAAUGCAGAUCAAAUGAAGUGACAUUCUAGGCAGGAGGUUCCGGCCUUUUGGUGUCUCUGGGCCACACUGGAAGAAAAGUUGUCUUGGGCCACAUGUUAAAUUCACUGCGACACAGGAUCAUAACUUUUUUGAUCACAGGAUCAAAAAAGUCUCAUAAUGUUUUAAGUAAAUUUACAGUUUGGGGUUGGGUCGCAUUCACAGCAACCCUGGGCUGCGGACCGGACAUCCCUGCAGAGUGCCGGGCGUGUACAUUUACUAAGCUCUUCGUCGUAAUUGAACAAAGCGUCAGAUGAUUUGAUGUCUAUCUUUUCUGAGCCCUAAACAGGGGUUCAGGAUUUGAGAAGGAUUUUUUUCCCUGCCUUGCAAAAUAUUUGAUAUGAAAAGUCUUAGGAAGAUACCAAAAUGAAGCUGUAUUUGAUUUUUUUCAGGUCCCCAGGGCCCGUGGUAACACCUCCUCCUUGGGGUGAUGACAAAGUGAGGGACGGGGAAGAUUUUCAAGACGAGCUCUACAUACAGCAGCCGGGGCCUGGGUCGGGGGAGCCCUCAGCUCGGCCAUAAAACAGCCGCGUGAGAUCCAGAGCAAGAAGUGUGUUCUCGGGGCUCAGUGGAUUUGGGUGAAACAUCAGGGUUGAACAGAUGACCACUGAGGUUGUUAAGAGCAUCUCUGUCAGGACAUUUCCUGCCCCACACCCAGGAAACAGUCUGAGGGCUGGUCAUAGGGAAGCACGAGCUUGGCGGUGACCCCACAUCUGCGGUUUUCAGCCUCGGGGGUCCCAACCCCUUCGCUCAUGGCCCAUGUGGUCUCACGUGGGUGGCCACACGUGGAUGGCUGAGUGGCGGCGCCACACAGCUUUUAAAAAUCAUAUCUCUGGGUGGGCUGGGAUGGGAGUAAGAGACAGAAAACUGUACUUGAACAACAAUUAAAUAAAAAAAUAUAAAAGACCAUAUUUAAUUUUGAAACAAAAGAAUAUUCACACAUUACCUGAGAUAGUAAACAGCAUCCCCUAAUAUCUGGUAUUAUUUAAUAUAUAAUAAAAACAUUGCUUGCAUUUAAAAAGUCGUAUCUUUCUUUGAGGAACAUUCUUCAUUUUGCUUCAUCCUGGGAGAUGCCGAUCAGCUUCGGUCAAACCCCCAACACCCCAAUGCCUCCUUUCCCACUUCGUGAUUUGGGGAGCAUCUGCUCUGUGGCACCUUGUCCUGCUUUUCUCCAACUGUCACCCUCAGCAGAGGUCACGAAGGGGCAUUCAAGGCCCAGAUUCGGCCCAUAGAAGGCAUUACUUGUUCCCCCUCCCCCAGAAGAAUUUUUAAAUUUGAAGUUAGUUCCCAGCAUGUAACAACCAGAAGAUUCCACAGAAAACCCAUAUCUCCAGCUUCUACUGAAAAAAAUCACGGAGAGAAAUGUAUGACCAGAAUGUCCCCAAGAAGCAAGACCUGGUUCUGGCCACGAUGUAGAAAGGACACCAGCCUUCUUCCCCCGACUCUAGAGUGUCUCAGUUGAGUGCUGUCCCCUGUGAACCUGCAUGGGACCCUCACAUUAACCAGGCACCCUGAGGACGUCACCACUGCCCCUGGUCUGCUGCGCUCUCCAAGUUGCCUGCCAGGCCCUCCAGCCAUUAGUCUGCCUGCCCCUCCCCCGCCCAGUUCACACAGGAAGUCUAACCUUUAAGAGUCUCGGUUCUUUAAGAUCCAAUCCUUGUGAACAUUGCAAAUCCCUUGAACCGGAUUCACACGUUGUUGAGAUAUAAAUAAAUUAUGCGUCCCUGGGCAAAAGGCUCUGAGAACCUGCUUUACUGGAAACACAGAGGAGAGGGAUUGGGGACACACAGGGUCACAGGAUCC